rnacentral:rRNA from 1 species
UACGGGGGAUGCAAGCGUUAUCCGGAAUUAUUGGGCGUAAAGAGUCCGUAGGUGGUUUAGCAAGUCUAUUGUCAAAGCCCGCAGCUUAACUGCGGAGAGGCGGUGGAAACUGUUGAACUAGAGUGUGGUAGGGGUAGAGGGAAUUCCCAGUGUAGCGGUGAAAUGCGUAGAUAUUGGGAAGAACACCGGUGGCGAAAGCGCUCUACUGGACCACAACUGACACUGAGGGACGAAAGCCAAGGUAGCGAAAGGG